rnacentral:rRNA from 1 species
CCUACGGGAGGCAGCAGUGAGGAAUAUUGGUCAAUGGACGAGAGUCUGAACCAGCCAAGUAGCGUGAAGGAUGACUGCCCUAUGGGUUGUAAACUUCUUUUAUAAAGGAAUAAAACGAGGCACGUGUGCCUUUUUGCAUGUACUUUAUGAAUAAGGAUCGGCUAACUCCGUGCCAGCAGCCGCGGUAAUACGGAGGAUCCGAGCGUUAUCCGGAUUUAUUGGGUUUAAAGGGAGCGUAGACGGGUUGUUAAGUCAGGUGUGAAAGUUUGCGGCUCAACCGUAAAAUUGCAGUGGAUACUGGCAGUCGUGAGUACAGUUGAGGGAGGCGGAAUUCGUGGUGUAGCGGUGAAAUGCUUAGAUAUCACGAAGAACCCCGAUUGCGAAGGCAGCUUACUAAACUGUGACUGACAUUGAUGCUCGAAAGUGUGGGUAUCAAACAGGAUUAGAUACCCGAGUAGUC